AAAGAGGAAGGUUUUCCUUCCCUAAUUUAUUUCACACGUGCAAAGUUUUUUCACCCAAAAUUACUUUUCUCUCUCCUCGUUCUCUUUCAUGAACUUCCCUCUCUCUUCCUCGUUUUUUCCUGUCUCCUCGCCAUUGCUCAAAGCUUUCUCUCUCUUCAAUUUGUUUCUAUUUCUUCGGCGAUUCAAGCUUUCUCUCUUCCAUUUGCGAUCUACCUUUGUUAUCCAGUAAUUUUUUAUUCGUGAACACUGCAAUGAAGAAGACUAAUCUAAUUUCUGAUGAAGUUGAUCUACAUGCAGAUACUGUUUGGGACUUGGUUGUCCUUGAUUUUCUACAGAUUGAGGGCUUGAUUGUACUACCCACUUUAGGAGAAGUCAUGUCGCAUAGAACCUAUUUACAAGGAAUGCAUAUAGGAUGGCAUUCUUUGUAAAUAGGUUGAAGUUGUGUGGGGACUAGGUGCCAUCUGGUAGAAAAAAAUAAUGGGGCAAAGAUAGGGAAACGGGGAAACCAAAAUCUAAGCAGGAAACCAAAAUUAAGUCUGACAAAGCAACUUUCCUCUUUCUUCCCAAAGCAAAGUAUUACUGUCCAAUGGAAAAUGGAGCGAAAUUAAAUUGAAGGCAUUGAAAUCUCUCAGGUGCACUAAAACCACUCAAAUGUCAUAAAUUUGACAUUGGAAAUUGAGGAUGAGAACAAGGUUAGCUGACAUUCGUGGAGUGGAUUUAGCUGAAGCACUUGGUGACGGUGGAGAAGACGGGCAUGGCUGCACUAGGGAGCUGCGAUUUGAUUGUGAAAAUGUAAGUUUCGUACAUGCAUUAUUGUAAUUAUUCGGUAGAUUUGAAUUUAAUUUUUAGAGUUUGGUAUUAAUUUUGGAAAUGGAAAAGUGUGAUGUAGUUGUUUAGAGAUGGUUAUUGUCAUAUUGAUAAUUUAGUAGUUGGUUUGGCCUAGCUUUGUCGAAAAAUCGAAAGAAUGGAUGUAUUUUGUAGAUGUUGGGAUUAAAUGAACUUAAUUUGGGGAUUUUUGCAUUGAGCUGAAUUGUUCAAUGUUGGUAUUUGAUGACCUUGUCUGAUGUUGAA